AUUGAACGCUGGCGGCAGGCUUAACACAUGCAAGUCGAACGAGUGGCGGACGGGUGAGUAAUGCUUGGGAAUCUAGCUUAUGGAGGGGGAUAACUACGGGAAACUGUAGCUAAUACCGCGUACCAUAGGAUGAGCCCAAGUGGGCUUGGGUAGUUGGUGGGGUAAAGGCUCACCAAGCCGACGAUCUCUAGCUGGUCUGAGAGGAUGACCGACCAAACGGGGACUGGGGCACUGCCAAGACUCCGACGGGAGGAAGCGUGGGUGAAUUUUGCAAUAUGGGCGCAAGGCUGAAGGAGCCAUGCCGCGUGUAUGAAGAAGGCCUUCGGGUUGUAAAGUACUUUCAGCGGGGCGGCGGUAACCGGAGAAGAAGCACCGGCUAACUCCGUGCCAGCCGCCGCGGUAAUUC
rnacentral:rRNA from 1 species